rnacentral:rRNA from 1 species
UACAGAGGUGGCAAGCGUUGUUCGGAAUUACUGGGCGUAAAGGGCGCGUAGGCGGCCAUCUAAGUCAGACGUGAAAUCCCCGGGCUCAACCUGGGAAUGGCAUUUGGGACUGCAAGGCUUGAGUGCGGCAGAGGAGACUGGAAUUCCUGGUGUAGCGGUGAAAUGCGCAGAUAUCAGGAGGAACACCGGUGGCGAAGGCGACAUCCUGGACCGGUAUUGACGCUGAGGCGCGAAAGCCAGGGGAGCAAACGGG